rfam:Haemonchus placei strain MHpl1 genome assembly, scaffold: HPLM_scaffold0002195
GGCACAAACUUGAAGUAGAAUAGUUGGGUAUGGUCAGCUGAUCAUACUAAUCUACUCUACUUCAAGUUUGUGCUC